AUCAGAUUCCCAUUCUAAAUAAUAUGUUUUCCAACCAUCCAAACACCCAUAAACCUAACGACAAACCCACUAACCUUGAUUCUGAGUUGCGAUGGAAAGAGUGAAAGCUGCGAGAGUGAGCUGCGAUUGAGAGAGUGAGCUUGCGAGGAGGAGAGCGACUGCGAGGGAGAGAGUGUCGAGCGGGUAUUCUGUGAGUUUUAGACGAAAU